rnacentral:rRNA from 1 species
UACAGCUGUACCACCUUUGAACACACCCCGUCUCGUCUGCUCUCGGUAGCUAAGCAGGGUCGGGCCGGGUUAAUGCUUGGAUGGGAGAAAAGCUGGUCCCAGCUCUAC